rfam:Ciona intestinalis ciona2053, whole genome shotgun sequence.
GGUGCCGUGGCACAGUUGGUUAGCGCGCCUGCUUGUAACCCAGGGGUAAUGGGUUCAAGGCUCUUCGCUGCUA